rnacentral:misc_RNA from 1 species
GAUGAAGAACGCAGCGAAAUGCGAUAAGUAAUGUGAAUUGCAGAAUUCAGUGAAUCAUCGAAUCUUUGAACGCACCUUGCGCUCCUUGGUAUUCCGAGGAGCAUGCCUGUUUGAGUGUCAUUAAUAUAUCAACCUCUUCAGCUUAUGCUUGUUGAGUGUUGGAUGGUGGGGGUUUGCUGGUGUCUUAUGAAGUCAGCUCCUCUGAAAUGCAUUAGCGGAACAAUUUGUUGACCGUUCAUUGGUGUGAUAAAAAUAUCUACGCUAUUGACGUCAGUCAGUUCAGCUUCUAACAGUCCAUUGACUGGGACAAAUUUUUCAUUAAUGUGACCUCAAAUCAGGUAGGACUACCCGCUGAACUUAAGCAUAUCAAUAAGCGGAGGA